UCUGUCAGGUGUGCUCCCGCUCAGCCAUCUCCAAGCCUGACAUGUAAAGUUUUUGUAAUGGCAUUUUCUCCCUCUCACUGAUGACUUUUCGCUAAGCUUGGCGUUUUUAAGAUGAACCACCUGUAAACUGCUUCGACAACAGGAGAUACAUGAACUUCCCUGUGACAGUUUCUCCAGCCCACAGAGGCCCUGUGAGUUGGUGAAACUGCUGCUGAUAUGGAUCUGGAACUCUACUUUGAGAACAUUAAGAGAACAUCAAACCUC